rnacentral:rRNA from 1 species
UACGUAGGGUGCGAGCGUUAAUCGGAAUUACUGGGCGUAAAGCGUGCGCAGGCGGUUUUGUAAGUCUGUCGUGAAAUCCCCGGGCUCAACCUGGGAAUUGCGAUGGAGACUGCAAGGCUAGAAUCUGGCAGAGGGGGGUAGAAUUCCACGUGUAGCAGUGAAAUGCGUAGAGAUGUGGAGGGACACCGAUGGCGAAGGCAGCCCCCUGGGUCAAGAUUGACGCUCAUGCACGAAAGCGUGGGGAGCAAACAGG